CCGGCCUGUCAGGCCUAAUAGGUUUUUUUUAGAAAGUAUGAGUCUAGGCUAUUUAAAUAAAUAAGUUUUUUAAAAAGCUUAACCUAACCUUUUUACUAAACAGGUAAGGCUGAGCUAGACUUUUAAUAGGCCAAGCCAUAGGCUCCUGUUGGGCGGCCUAGUUUAUUCGCACCCCUACGUGGAUGCAAAAACAUCUUUGGAACUGCAUAGCCCAUGAGUGAAGCAGACGCAUAGCCCAUGAAUGAAGCAGACGGAAUCGUCUCUCUUAAAUGGAGGAUAAACCACAGAUGUCACUAAAUCAACAACAGGAGAAUCAAGAGUUACUCAUUAGAUGUAUUGCACAAUCUCUAGGCUUUUCUGGGAACAGACCAAUUGCUGCUUGUCAUAUGCAAAUGUUUCUUGCUUGCACUGGAGAUCAUUUGAAGUUGAGUGUAGUGUUUUUAUCGUAUCAUCCAAACUACUGGCCAUGCAACUAGACCCAGGAUAACAAUAAUGUCUUGGCCUAUUGGUAAUCAAAUGCCUCAACACUUGCCUUGUUACUCCAGAACAUACUCAAAGCAAGUGGUUCUGCCGGAAUGGCUCGUCAGCACUGUCAUUCAUCAUCAACAGCCUGUUUGGGAGGAUGACUCGAUGUUUUCGUGGAACUCCAGAUGGAGUCAAUUUUUCCCUAAUCUAUGGUAGCACAAGCAGGAGAGUAGAUACAUCAAGACAAGUUGAAGUCAAUUACCAAUCUGUGCUUUUCAAACAGCAGCUUAGAGAAUAUGUGGAAAAGAUAUAUGGAAUUAUUCGCUAUAACUUGAAGAAAGAAAUUUCUCUUUUACUUGGAUUGUCCAUCCAGGUGCCAAGACCAUCCAGAGCAAGCUUGGUCAAGGGAUCAUCAUGUUUUGUUGCAAACACCAAUGCCCAGGGCGCAAUGAUUGCUCCCUAGCAGGAGAGUGAAAAGCCUAGGAACUAUUUUGAGUACUUUGAAAGAAAAUCAUGUUCCCCCAUUUUGGUUCAAAGGUGUUCACACGAAAAUUUUCUCUCAUGAAUGUACACUUAUUCAACAGGUUGUUUUUUGUACUUUUUUUUCAUUCUCAUUUUUAUAUCCUCAAGUAUUCAUUUUUUAUUAGUCUUCUUUGAAAACAAGAGUGAUGCUCAUUUAGUAAUGGAGAAUUUGUCAAAGCUGGUUUGGCUAAAGUAGAUCAUUGGUGUUAUGAUGUGCAUGAAAUUAACAAUGGUGUUAUUCUUUUCGGUAGUUCAGUUCAUUUAAUAGGUACGCUAACCUUCCUGUCCUUUCUCCAAAAAAAAAAAAAAAAAGCAGUAUACAGGUUCAGCCUGGAAUGAGAUCAAACAUAUUAGACAAGCUAUUGGAUUUCUGAUAUCUAUAUUCUUGGCUACAUAUCAUCUUGCAUAUGUUAAGAACCUAGAGAGGAGAAAUGGAAAAAUGUCAGAAAUAGAAAUUAGGAACAACUUAUUGAAUGAUUAAGAACAUCAAUUUUUUUCUCUAGUGAAAAAACUGUGUUUCCCUCCCUUCUUCUAACGGUCACAGAUGGCAAAAUAUGGUAAACUGAUUUUUUCUUACCUUUAUUAAUGUAAUAAAGUCAUCCAUCCGAACCCACAUAAAACACAGGACGAUAAGCCAUGACUUGUGCCCAUUAAGUGAAAGAAAUCUCUGAUCAGGUCCUUAGUAUUCAGCAGUUACAUUGAAAUAGCAUCAUGUACUGGGAUGCCCAAUUUAAUUAAUAUAAGUGCCUUCGUCCAUUGCACGGUUCCAAGUCACAGGGAAAACUCUUUCCAUGUUCAAUUCAAAAUAUUUAUAAUCUUUUUGAGUGGAAGAGUAGCCAAGAAAACACAUUUAAUAGCACGGGGUUCAAGUUUACCAAGAUGUUUAUGUUCAUGAGCAAAAGUCAUGCAUCCAAAAAUUUUCAAUAGUAAAUCAGCAAAGAUUGAUGCAAUGGAAAAAUGUUUAAAGAAAAUUUGAAAAGGAGUUUGAAAUUGAAACACACGCGAUGGCAUGCGAUUAAUCAAAUAUGCAGCUAUCAAGACAGACCCACAAAUAUUUUGGGACAUUGGUAGAGACGAGUAAUGCACGUGCCACCUCAAGAAGAUGUUGAUUUUUUCUUUGCAAUUCCAUUUUGCUGAGCAUUCCGUUUUCUGUUGAUGACAUGUCGUAGUCAUGGGAGCAGAUUGAUAUCUCAGAUAUAGAGCCCCACCACUAAUAAGUGGAAACUCUGGUCUUAGCUUUUUGUUGCCCCACGCAGAUUAACAGCUUUUGUUGUAGAAUUGACUCCCCGCUUACCUGGUAUUCUUAUACACCUCCAUGAGGAUAUAAAGUCACAUUCAGUUUAGAUCAGAUGUCAUCAAUGAAUGCUCAAAUGUUGGCUUUGAUUGUGAUAGAAACAAGUCACUGUAAUAAACAUGCCAAAUUUACUUGGUAGUUUAAAACAUGGACUGACACGACACAAGGCCCGUUGUGCAACUUUUUGUUUGAGGCUGGCGUGAAAAGAAUAAUACUACACAGGCCUUUACAUCUUGUUUUCUCGGCUUAUUACUUUGCUCAGAAUAAGUUCUUUAUAUAGAAUGAUAAGAAUUUCACCAGAUUUUAGUGAGGAAUGAAGUCCAUGAUUCAGAAUAUGUAACAACAAGAGUUCAUUAGUUAUAAUUUUAUAGAGACUUGUCCUGUCAUA